CCCCAGACUCCUACGGGAGGCAGCAGUGGGGAAUAUUGGGCAAUGGGCGCAAGCCUGACCCAGCAACGCCGCGUGAAGGAAGAAGGCUUUCGGGUUGUAAACUUCUUUUCUCAGGGACGAAGCAAGUGACGGUACCUGAGGAAUAAGCCACGGCUAACUACGUGCCAGCAGCCGCGGUAAUACGUAGGUGGCAAGCGUUAUCCGGAUUUACUGGGUGUAAAGGGUGCGUAGGCGGCUGUGCAAGUCAGUAGUGAAAUCCAUGGGCUUAACCCAUGAACUGCUAUUGAAACUGCACAGCUUGAGUGAAGUAGAGGUAGGCGGAAUUCCCGGUGUAGCGGUGAAAUGCGUAGAGAUCGGGAGGAACACCAGUGGCGAAGGCGGCCUACUGGGCUUUAACUGACGCUGAGGCACGAAAGCGUGGGGAGCAAACAGGAUUAGAUACCCCAGUA
rnacentral:rRNA from 1 species